AAGGCAGGGAGCUACCUGCAGUCGACGGUANACAGAGAGCUUGCUCUCGGGUGACGAGUGGCGGACGGGUGAGUAAUGUCUGGGAAACUGCCUGAUGGAGGGGGAUAACUACUGGAAACGGUAGCUAAUACCGCAUAACGUCGCAAGACCAAAGAGGGGGACCUUCGGGCCUCUUGCCAUCAGAUGUGCCCAGAUGGGAUUAGCUAGUAGGUGGGGUAACGGCUCACCUAGGCGACGAUCCCUAGCUGGUCUGAGAGGAUGACCAGCCACACUGGAACUGAGACACGGUCCAGACUCCUACGGGAGGCAGCAGUGGGGAAUAUUGCACAAUGGGCGCAAGCCUGAUGCAGCCAUGCCGCGUGUAUGAAGAAGGCCUUCGGGUUGUAAAGUACUUUCAGCGGGGAGGAAGGUGUUGUGGUUAAUAACCACAGCAAUUGACGUUACCCGCAGAAGAAGCACCGGCUAACUCCGUGCCAGCAGCCGCGGUAAUACGGAGGGUGCAAGCGUUAAUCGGAAUUACUGGGCGUAAAGCGCACGCAGGCGGUCUGUCAAGUCGGAUGUGAAAUCCCCGGGCUCAACCUGGGAACUGCAUUCAAAACUGGCAGGCUGGAGUCUUGUAGAGGGGGGUAAAAUUCCAGGUGUAGCGGGGAAAUGCGUAGAGAUCUGGAGGAAUACCGGGGGCGAAGGGGGCCCCCUGGACAAAAACUGGAGCUCAGGUGCAAAAGCGUGGGGGAGAAAACAGGAUAAGAUACCCUGGUAGGUCCACCCCGAAAACAAAGUCAAUUUGGAGGGUUGGGCCUUUGAGGGGUGGGUUCCGGAACAAACGCGUUAAAUCAACCCCCCGGGGGGGCACCGGCCCCAGGUUUAAACUCAAAUGAAUUUGGGGGGGCGCCCCACCACCGGGGGAACCUGGGGGUUAUUUUUAAG
rnacentral:rRNA from 1 species